CUGUGCUGGCUUGACUCUAGCUAGCUUGCUGGCUGUCCCAGUGAAGGGGAAGGGCUCCGGGGGGGGCUGGUACAGCCUGUGCUCUACCUACGUACUGCUGUCGGUAGCUGGGCGGGCUAGGUUACAGCUAGCACAGGUAUUCCCAGGCUGCAGUCACACCUCCCAGUGCAGUGUAGACAUGCUCUGAGACACCGCUUCCCUUUCCCUGAGACUGACGUAGGUGAGGUUGGGGAAGUGCUGGAGCCCCCUUUUAUUAAAAAAAGGGGGGCUGGGAGUAAGGCAAGGAUGCAGCUCUCUCUCCUGGGGCUGGAAUCUGAGGACCUUCAGGCCACACUACAAAGUUCAUCUGUGCACACCUGGGGGAGGUGUUUGUGGUGGGAAGGUCCUCCGCAGUAUUUUGCACCUCCCUUGGGUGCCAGAAGAUUGGAGCCAAAAUGCUAGCCAGGUAACUACAGGCUUCAUAGUCCUUAGCCACUGCAGUAAAGUUCAAUAAAAUGAGUAAACGUUGA